GGCUGGAGGUAAGCUGGGGCGGGGGUAGAGGGCACAGGAGAAACACAGACACCAUUAAACUGGGCUUCUUUGCGAUGUUCUGGGUAGCGUCCUGCUCAAUAUAUCUGGUCAACAGAUUCAGUGGGAUGCGGCCAUGUAAUCUGGAUUGACAAUUACGUGCCUUUGGCAUAUGGGAUUUUUGCCUGAGCCGAUGAUGAUGAAGAUGUGUGCCAUGAGCCCGUACUGCCUCCAAAUCGAUGGCUGCCAAAACUAACAGCUGUGAAAUUAUUUGUGACUGUUAAGGAUAAACAUAUUUGUCCCUAUUCAUUAUAUGAUCAUUUACUUCGUAGGCAUGCUUUGUGUGGGGAAGAAAAAUACCCACGAAGGAAGCUUCUCAGAGGGCGACCAGGUGCACAGUUCAGCCAAGUAUGAGGCGGCUCUUCCGAGGGGUCCAGCUGCUUGAGAAACCGAGUAUGUGGGAACCAAACAGCCCUGCGUGGCGCUCCCAGUGUACCCCGUGAUGGCCGCCCACCCACCGGCUGUGCUCUGAGCAGACACACGGGGCUACGUGCGUGUGCACGUGUAAAAGUGUCUCUGUGUACGUACCGAAGUUUCCAUCAGUAGGACGAGAGAAAGAACAAAGAAGCAAAAAGGUGUGAGGGGUGGAGAGAGAAAUGGCAGCAUGCUGAUAGCGAAGCUGAAUGGUGGCCACACGGAGAUUCCUUAUACUCUUCUCUCUGCUUUUGUAUAUAUUUGAAAAUUCCAAACUAAAAA